ACCCAUCAUCACUAAGGACCCUCUGGUCCAGAAGACAUGUUAGGGACCAAAAGCAGGUAUCCCCGCUAUGUACUAGGCACAGUUCUAAAUAUUUUGCUUAUUUUAACUGAUUUAAUCUUUACAAUUAAACAAAUAGGCACUAAGGUUAUUUUUUAGAUGAGAAAUCCAAUGAGAGAGAUGAAGAAGAUUGGCCAAGGUUAUGCUAAGAAGCCUAGAGCUGGGAUCCCAUCCAGGCAGUGUGAUGCCAGAAAUUGCUCCUAACCCUGAAGCUAUAUGCACAAGACCCUCUCUGAGUUGGGUAUUUUUGUCCAGUUUUUCCAGGGGAGGACACUGAAAUUGAGUUAAGAAAAUGUGGUAGUCACUGGAUUGUUUACAGAUAUUCCAGAUCAUCUUUCCUUCUGUGCAUAAGGAAGUAGCACUUCUCCACAUCCUCGAAGGUUAGGGAUGCCCAUGGGACGGGCUUUGGUCGAUGAAAUGGAAGUGCCAGAGAAGCACUGAGAGCCUGCAUGGAGUUCACCAUGGUCCUGUCUGCUGUGUUGGUGAAACCCUCAUCACAAGGUCGUUAUACAGCAAUAGAAAAAGAAUAAACUAUCUAAUAAACAGUACUAGAACAAUUGGUUAACAGAAGAAAAAGGUAUAAUAAACUGUAGCUGGAUUAGAGAGUUAAAUUUUUCUUAAAAGCCAAAUAGAUGAGCAUUUGCAUGCUCUGAAGAUGAGAGAAAACCUUCCAAGAAUUAAAGCAACUUUUAAAAAUCCACAAGAUAAAGAUAGUGAAGACUUUACACAUCAAGACAUGCCAAACAAAAUAUGAAAAAUAGCAAUUUGGGGAAACAUCUGCAAAACUUAAUAUGACAGAGUAGAAAUGGUCAUACUACAUGAGACAAAGAGUUAAGGCAGAGACUUAAAUAGAAAAAUGGUAAAAUAUAUCAAAUGAUAAUUCACAAGAGAAGAUAUAAAAAUGGUUAAAAUGCUUAAAAGUUUCAGUAGCGAUAAUAAUCACGACGGUUUCUAAGAUGAAAGUUCUCUGACAUUAAGGGUAAUCUCCUCUGACUGAAAAGUUAAGCCUUCAUGAGAUGGUCUGUUGGCUUAUCAUAGCCACAUAAAAUUGAAAUUAAUGGAAAAAAUGGCUGUCUAGGAGUUCCUGUUGUGGCCCAGCUGGUUAAGGACCUUGCUGUCUCUGUGAGGAUGCUGGUUUGAUUCCUGGCCUCACUUAGUAGGUUAAGGAUCAGGCAUUGCUGCAAACUGUGGCAUAGGUUGCAGAUGUGGCUGGGAUCUGACAUUGCUGUGGCUGUGGCAUACAUAGAGCAAAGCUGCAGCUCUAAUUCUGCCCCUAGCCAGGGAACUUCCAUAUGCCACAGGAGCAGCCAUUAAAUUAAUUAAUUAAUUUAAAAAAUAAAAAUAAGUUUAAAAGGCUGUCUUUUAGGAAAUCCUAUUGAGAGUAUAGUUUUUUAAUGUUAAUUUAUGCCAGAAACAAAAGUAAAUGUAAGUGAUGAUGAACAUUAGUUUUUUAGGAUCCAGAAUUUUAAAAUUUAAUGGACCUCCAUGGACCACUGGAUCAGCAGUUAUGAUCUUUUAAAUCACAUAUUUGAAGCAGGUGAAAUUGACUUUAGUUUAGCUUAUUGUAAUUAAAAUUAGCAUGAAUUACCAUGAUGGACUCAGAGUUGGUUAAUCUCUGGCCUUGGGUAGGGGUUCUUCAAUAUAGACGCAAGCCUAAAGCAGAAGCAAUGGAGUGCAAUUGUUUUGAGUUCAUUUUAGGGCCAUAGAUAUACAAUUGAGAGUUCUGAUCCAAAGACUGAUGAGUUAAAAGCCUGUUUCUGCUGUUGCAUGGGUUCAGUCCCUGGCCUGGGAACUUUCACAUGCCACGACUCUCCCAAAAAUAAAGUCUGUUUUCAACUGCAAAUUUCAUUUCUACGAAGCAGAAACUGCCAGAACACAGUGGUGGCAGGGUUUUCCUUCUCCCUUGGUGGGAUGAGGGCUUGGCAAGAGAUGAAGAGUAGAAAGAAUGAGGAAAUAUUAGGAAUAGGGCAAUAAAAUAAGCUUUUUCAAGGAAGUAUUACACUAAAAUCAUUUUCUCCUAUGCUCAAUUCAUAUAGAGAUUAAAUAGGUUAAGUAUUUCCUGCAAUUGGGAAUAAAAUGGUUAUUACUAUCCUUUGUUUACAAAAGCAGUUCCCUUAAUCCAAGAUUAGUGUGAUAUAUUGAUAUUAAAGUGAAAACCACCUUUGCAUUGAUGAAAUUUUAAGUUUUAUAUAAAAAUAAAAAUAACAGAAGAAUAGCUAGUAUGUGAGUAUAUUGGUAUGCAGGUAUAUAUAUGUAAAGAGAGCUAGGAAAUCUAAGAUUAGAUUAGAAAAAUAGAUUGGAUUCCCUAGCUCUAUUUACUGAAAGUGCCAAGAAGCAAAGACCAGAGCAGAAAGUCUAGCGCCCAGGUAUUGGUUCCCACUGAAAGGAGGCUUCUAGGAGGCAUGGCUGAUUCCAGGGCUGGAUCCUAAGGAUACAGGCUACCUGUAGCAUCACACACUUGCACUCCUCUAUUGUUCAAAUCCUACAAAACCACAGUUUCUUCCCCCAUGGUGAUGGGACCACCAUGAGGUUUAUAACAGUCCUCAGGACCUUAAAGAACUUCCACCAAUCUCAAAUUGUCACUUACUUGUCUUCUGUGUUCCUGCAAACAUUUCUUGAAAGGUCAUAUAAAACUUGGAUCUUUGAAUUGUGGUAAACUUCCCUUAUUUGCAACUGAUCCCACAUUUCUACUCCCAUACAUUGUCUGACAUUAAGGGCUAAAAAUUGUGCCAGAACAUGGAAGUCAGAAAGAUCAGCCACAGCAAAUUAAACACAUGACAUUGAAGAAGGCAUUCAGUAGAGUAUGGAUUUUUUUUUUUUUUUUAAACGGAAAGAAAAGAGGGAGUUCCUAUCGUGGUUCAGCAGAAACAAAUCUUGACUAGUAUCUAUCAGGAUGCAGGUUCGAUCCCUGGUCUCGUUCAGUAGUUUAAGGAUCUGGCAUUGCCCUGAGCUGUGGUGUAGGUGACAGACACAGCUCAGAUCCAGUGUUGCUGUGGCGUAGGCCAGCAGCUACAGCUCUGAUUUGACCCCUAGCCUGGGAACUUCCAUAUGCCGUGAGUGCGGCCCU
rnacentral:lncRNA from 1 species